CUAGACAGGCGGGCCUCGAUCCCGCAAAAUCCUAGUUAACAGCUAGAUGCCUAAACCAACGGGCUUCCGUCUA
rnacentral:tRNA from 1 species